rnacentral:lncRNA from 1 species
GUUGCUGCUGCUGAGGCGGCUCCGCCACCGCCACCACCAGGCUCUUGUCCUCCGUUGACAUCCUAGUCAGCAGGACGAGAGAGACACAUGGAUGAUGGUGAUGAAGAUGAGGAUGGUGAUGGGGAUCCCGAUGCUCCUCCUGCUCCCGCGGCUCCUCUCCUCCUCACCUCCGCCUCCUCCACCUCCGCCUCGCAUCGCUGGCCUCAGCCGCCGCCGACCAGCGCAGAUCAGAAAAACAUUCUGCCAAAAUUCUGCGAGUCAAAAGCAGCUUCAGAGCUGUCAAAACUGCCGGAGAUGAUUAGAAACUUGCUUUGAUGAGAUCUCUGCUAACAUGCAUUGAUUUUCUGAACCCAUUUCUUGCAUGGUCCAAAGGCAGCAUAGCUUUGUAAUGGCUGUGGGAUGACACUUUGAACUGUGCACUCUGUGAGAAAGGAUUCUUCACUGACUGUAGUGUCU